rnacentral:rRNA from 1 species
CAGCCGCCGCGGGAAUACGUAGGGUGCGAGCGUUAAUCGGAAUUACUGGGCGUAAAGCGUGCGCAGGCGGUAAUGUAAGACAGAUGUGAAAUCCCCGGGCUCAACCUGGGAACUGCAUUUGUGACUGCAUUGCUGGAGUGCGGCAGAGGGGGAUGGAAUUCCGCGUGUAGCAGUGAAAUGCGUAGAUAUGCGGAGGAACACCGAUGGCGAAGGCAAUCCCCUGGGCCUGCACUGACGCUCAUGCACGAAAGCGUGGGGAGCAAACAGGAUUAGAUACCCCGGUAGUCCCUGUCUCUUAUAC